rnacentral:rRNA from 1 species
CCUACGGGUGGCAGCAGUGGGGAAUAUUGGGCAAUGGGCGCAAGCCUGACCCAGCAACGCCGCGUGAAGGAAGAAGGCUUUCGGGUUGUAAACUUCUUUUCUGAGGGACGAAGAAAGUGACGGUACCUCAGGAAUAAGCCACGGCUAACUACGUGCCAAGAGCCGCGGUAAUACGUAGGUGGCAAGCGUUAUCCGGAUUUAUUGGGUGUAAAGGGUGUGGAGGCGGGACAGCAAGUCGGAGGUGAAAACUCAGGGAUCAACCCUGAGCCUGCAUUUGAGACUGUAGUUCUUGAGUGCUGGAGAGGCAAUCGGAAUUCCGUGUGUAGCGGUGAAAUGCGUAGAUAUACGGAGGAACACCAGUGGCGAAGGCGGAUUGCUGGACAGUAACUGACGCUGAGGCGCGAAAGCGUGGGGAGCAAACAGGAUUAGAUACCCUUGUAGUC